rnacentral:rRNA from 1 species
UACAGAGGGUGCGAGCGUUGUUCGGAAUCAUUGGGCGUAAAGCGCGUGUAGGCGGCUAGGUAAGUCUGCUCUGAAAGCCCGGGGCUCAACCCCGGGAGGCGGGUGGAUACUGUCUAGCUCGAGUCCGGAAGAGGAGUGUGGAAUUCCUGGUGUAGCGGUGAAAUGCGCAGAUAUCAGGAGGAACACCAAUGGCGAAGGCAGCACUCUGGGACGUGACUGACGCUGAGACGCGAAAGCGUGGGGAGCAAACAGG